UUGGGAAAAAUGAGCAGUCCCAUAGCUGGUUUUGUUUAGCCAAAAUUCAGGUUUGACUCAGUUUUCCAUAUAAUGUCUGAAUUAAUAAAUUUGAAUUAGACUGUGUUAUAGUGUGGACAAAUAACACAUAGGUGUCUUUAAACAAGGCAUGUAUGAAGCAUCUUCAUUAUGAAUCCUUUCCUUUAUUUUAAUUAAGUGAAAAAGAUUGGUCUACACUGGGAAAAUAUUGAGGUAGAAAACCAAGUUAGGGAAUAUAGGAUGGAAACAAAACCAGAGAAAAUAUUUUAAUUAGAAAUUGCAGUGACCACAGGAUUAUUACAAAUGCAGUGAAAACCAUUUUCUUCAAUGUGCUAUGGAGAAGGUAGACAUGAUCUAUGGAAAAAUACCCAGUCAUCAAUUAAUUUUCUAUUGAUAAAAAUUAUUUUAAUCAAAAUCACUUUUUUACUAGGCCAAGAAGGAUAUUUGAUGUUUCUUUCUGUUGUGGUUUAACCCCAGCUGGUAGGUAAGCACCACACAACCCCUCAUUCAUUUUCCACUGAUGGGAAGGAGGUAGGAAUGGAAAGGGCAAAAAUGACAAAACCUAUGGGUUCAGAUAGAGACAGUUUAAAAGCUGGAGCAAAACUAAAAGCGAGUGAAGCAAAACAAGUAAUUCCUUCAACACUUCCCAUAGGCAGGCAGGUGUUCAGUCACCUCCAGGAAAGCAGGGCUCCUUCACAUGUAAUGGUGGCUUGGGAAGAAUAAUGCCAUCACUCUGAAUGUCCCCUCUUUCCUUAUACCCCAGCUUUAUGUGCUGACCAUGGCGUCACAUGGUCUGGAAAAUCCGUUGGGUCAUUUUGAGUCAGCUGUUCUGGCUGUGUUGCCUCCCAGUUUGUUCACCCCCAGCCUCCUCACUGGUGAGGUGUGGUGAGAGGCAGAAAAGACCUUGACUCUGUAUGACUUCAGCAGUAACAAAAACAUCUCUGUGUUAUCAACAUUGCUUUCAGUAAAAGUCCAAAUCAUAGCCUUGUAUCAAAUGCUCUGAAGAGAAUUCUCCCUAUCCCAGCCAAAACCAGUAUGCAUUCACUCUCUCCAGGAGUUCACCUAACACUGUAGUCUUUGAAUACAGGGCUAAAAGCAGCUGUCAUGUACUUCCUUUCUAACCCAGAGAAGAGUCCUCUGUAAUGGUGUUGUUCUUGAUGGACUUCUUUAUGUCCUUGAUGUCCAAUCUAUUCCCCAUGAUCCCUGGUGUGUGAGAUACUUUAUUUCUCAAAACAGCCUACUGCAAUUUUUUUCCUAUCCUAAUAUUUUCCAACAUCUAAUCUCUUUAAUUUUAGCUAUCUCAUUCAUCCAACAAAGAAUCAGAGUAGAAUAAGGUCUUCAGGUAUUUCAAGACUUAUAAUCUACUUCUCUUCCUAACUAAAUAGUCCAGAUUUCCCUAAAUUUCUUGUUGUACUAUGUCAAUAGCACUUCUUCUUUCUUGUCUUUGAACACUCUGAAAUUGGUCCACAUAAAAAGCACCCCAUGCCAGUUAUUUCUCGUCCUCCAUUUGCACAGUUAUUUAUACCUACAUUACACUUUUCCUAACUAAUUUUUAGAGUGUUUCACCAGUUUUCAAGAUUGUUUUAGUCUGUGUUUGCUUUCCAGCAUACCUUCAUUUUGCUUCACACUAAGAGAAAAUUUAAGAAACUACUCACUAAUAAUGAAUGUAUUUGUUUCAGUAGGUGAAUGAUUCUGGGUGAUUUUACAUUAGAUGGAAAUUAAAGGAUGAGGAGCACAUCUGCCUAAUAAUGUAGUAACCUCUAUUAGAAGAAAAAAAAGUGUGAAAGCAAAAGAUUUCAGAGUCAUCAUUCACACAGGAUGGCUGGAGUGUUGCUUAAAGUAAAAAUCUAGGAGCUUCAUAGAAGCUAUUACCAUUUGCUGGAAACCUUAGGGUUUUGAAGAAGUGGACUAUUUUGAAUAGGUUUUAAAUAAAAUGUUAAAGUAUUAAUUAAUGUUUUCCAGAUAAAAAUAUGUAUUCAAUAUGCCUAGAAAUUCUCUGUACCAUGUCUGCAUGGUUAGACAAUACAAUCUCCAGAGAUACCUUCCAAUCUCAACUAUUCUCUGACAGGUUUCAGGGUUUCCAAUUUAAAAGAUACUGCCCACUACAGUUUAGGAAGUAGCACUAUUGUCACAGCAGGAGGUAUCUCCAAGGUUGUCAGUUCCUGGAUCAUUUAAAAGUCUUCAGGUACCUUUUGUUCCCUUAGGAAUUAUUGUAAAAUGCAUGAGGAGACCAUUUUCCAGUAUCCAUUAAAGCAGAUGAGAGAACAUUUGAAAGACCCUGCAUUCAAAGGAAAAAAAAGGUUGUCUCUGUCUGGGAGGGGAAAGGUAUCAAAAGUGCGAGAGUCCUUGCCUGUCAUCAGGGUAAGUUGUCAGUAACAUGCAGGUGAAUAUAUGUCAAUAUUCAUGGGUGCUGUUCAUAUCUCAUUAAGAUAAAUCCAGAAUAUAAUUCCAAGUAAGCAGGAGUUUGCACGUGCGCAGAGAAAGAGGUUGAACCCGAUAUCACUCUUAUUGUUUUGCCUCAGCCACAGCUAAGUGCCCAGAAUUGUGGUGUUCUGUCCUCUGUUUUUUUCAAAGCCAACUCAAAAUGUUCUGCCAUAGCUCCUGUUCCACUCUUGACAUGAUGAAGAAAUCACAAAAACCAUAAACCACUAUAAAAGCCUAGUUUUACUGAGUAUGAUUGCUAAGCAUGAGAAGAGAAAAUCACAGUGGUCUAAUUGCUGUUGUGGAGCCCCAGGAAAGUCAAGUUAUUAAACAAAAUUGGCUGUGCCCCUUAUUUGAUCAACUUCUAAAAUAAUUCCUAAAAUUAAGAUGUAAAUACUUUUCUUUGUUUGUAAUUCAGCUUCCAGUGGCUGCUAAAGUAUUCAAUUGAGGCAUAACAUUUUAAAGCCUUUUAAGAGCCAAAUAAAAUUAUUACUUAUAAAUUAUUAAAAGCCUUCCACAAAUGGAAAAAUACUUACAGAAAAGUCCUUCAUAAAUAAUGUUCAAACUAAAUUAAGUAGUAGUAUAAGGAAUGCAUUAAAGUUUGCGAAUGAGAUAUUAGCAGUGUGCUCCCUUAACCUCAAAGUUAUGAUAGCUGGAGCACUUGCUACCCCUUCGAAACCUUGCAGCUCCAAGCCCUGGCUCUCUCUGGGAAAGAAACAUGUGGUGCUACUGGAGAUUGGAAAAAGAGCUCGAGGUCAGGGGUCGACACAGUAAGGGAGUUUGCUCUUUAAGAGGUUAUCUGUGGAUCUGCAAAGCCAAAGUGCAAUUGGGUUCUGUGAUGUGAUUUUAGUGAGUAAUUGUAUAUGAUCGUAGGUAGUUUCAAAGACAAGGUUGGAAGAUUUUUCCAGCCUGCUUGUGAUAUCAAUUUUGGGGAGUCUGUGUAGCUUGAGAUGGACAAUGCAGUUUCUUCAGAAAUUGUCAUCUGAAGUGAUACAGCUGGUAACUGAUUCCUUUAAUUAUAAAUUUAGCAGACUGGUAAUAUGUUUUUGUAUUUCUCAUCCCUGAGAUUUCUAUUGGGUAAAUCAGCAGCUUUGUAGUCUUGUACAUUUUUUUGCCACUGGUAAAAACUCAUGUUUGCUUUUAAGCUGGAACUGCAUCAGAGAAAAUUUUGCAUGUUUAUUAAGACAGUACGAGUCACUGUAAUUGAUCUGCCUGGGUAUUGCUUUUUCUUUGGUCUAUGAGUAGAUAGUUUGCCAGUGGGUUAUCAAGUUACUGGCUCUUGAUUAUUCAAAACAAUGUGAAACAAACAUUUCCUAUUGUUUUAGUUGUUUAGGGUUUCCUUGAUUAAGCUGUCACCGCUGUCAGUUAUGUUCUUAUAAGCCUGCUCGGAUCUAUUUCAUGUUAAGAAAAAGCUCAGAUAAAUCCAGGAAAGCUUAAUGUUUAUCCAAUGUGAAAAUAAUUACUCAAAAGUGUUAUUCUUAAUCCAGAUAAUUAGAGUGAGGAAGGAGAGAUCAGUGUCAUUGUGAAUUAUGCCCUGGCAAUUGACUCUUGGUCCUUGUAAGUUUCAGGUGAAGAUGUGAAUGGAUAAAGGUUAGAUUAACCAUAAUCCAAAGUAGCUGCAACCUAAAUCUGUUAUGAUACAAGGAUGAUCACUUAAAAAGAGCUGGAUUGUGGGAUUGUUUCUGGUUGGAUAAGAUGCCGCUCGACUGGGACUAGUCUUAAAACAUGCUUAGCACCAUGUCACUGCAGCUGUAAGCACUUGUGCACGGUUUCAGGCUGCCACAGACUGCAGGACUCUCCUGCACAGUGUAAUACUACCCUGCCUUGCAAUAUCUGUGCUUUACAUUAACAUGCUUUACCCUGUGUUUCAUGGAAAAUAGACGGUAACUUAUGCAGAGUGAUUUGCUCAAUGAUCACUUCUCUGUGCUGUUAAACAAAUUCCUUUGAGUUCCCCUUUUGAAACAUUCUGUGCAUCUACAUGUAGUAUAGUGUGCAAUGGUACAGGUACAGGGUUAUAAAAAUUGACCAAUCAGAAAUGUAAAAGGGAAAAAAUAUUUACUCCCUCUAUUUUAGUUUAUAUAAUGAUUUUGUAGGGUUACUAAUUAUUAGAAAAGGAAAAACAUAACAAUAUAUUUUAUGUAAAGAUAAGGUUUGCAGAUGCUUUUCUCUCUGAAGUUGCACAGUUUUCAGAAAUCCAUUAUAAAUUAACACCACUAAAUCAAAACAAAUUCACUCUGAAUGCAGGAAAAGUAGCAUCAAACAGGGGACGUGCAAGUAUUAGCACAUACUGGAAGCAGAAAGUAUUUGAUGCUUCAGACUUCCCUGUUUAUAGAUAUGGACAUAAUGGUGACAGCCCAAAUGACAGUAUGUGUAGCAACUCUGUAAACAUAUAGACUCUUGAAUCUCAAUGGUUACUAACUGGGAAUAACACCGCUGAAAAAGGAAGAGAAGAGGGCGAAAGAUCGUUUAUUCAAAAACAGUGCAGGAAUCUUUGGUCUCAGCAGAUAGUUUAAUUGCAUGGUCCAGUCUUUCUCAUUGUUUCUCAUUGUACAAAUGGAAAAUAAACUAAAGAGAGUUUUUUCUUAUUAUUCAAUUUUUCUAAUAAAUUGCAUGCAAUUACUCUGAAGUGAUACAUUUAUGCAGAUCUCCCUCAGCCUUGCUGGAAAACUGGAAGCAGCAUUCCUUGAUACGUGACUAAGGAUUGAAAUUGGAGAGAAGACAACAUCUGGACAUAGCACCUUUUGAUUACUGUUUCUUCACUCCUGUAUUACUUGGAAUCAGCCUUGCAAGAUUAUUCAUUAAAUUCUCAUUACUGGGGUAGGUUUUUAGAAAAAUGUGUCUGUCAAAAGUCCAUUACUCCAGAAAGUUUUUCUGUAAAUAUUGUGAAUAUUUCCUGCAUUAGCUUAAUGAAAUCUGAAUAUCCCUGGCUUAAACAAGAGGGGUAACAACAUAGGCACCUACUAGUGUGCACAUAUGGAUGUAUUUUUAAAAUGGACAGGUAACAGUUUUAGCAGUUCUAAAAGUACUGUUCCUUAAGAUAAAACCUUUCCUUCUCUAAAUGGCAGAAUGACUGAAACUACAUUUAAUAGGCACAAACAUAGAUACACAAUAGAAAUUUAAUAAAUUUAGUUAGUUAAACACAACUAGCUCUGUUCUGCAGUUUGUUCUGUUUCAUUGCUCAGUAUUAGUACUGGUGAAUUAUAGCUUCUGCCUUCUUUACAGCCCCUUCACACAGAGGGCUUUGCUGUUAAACACAAGAUGACCAUGAAUGCUUGAGUCAAACAGGCUUCCCUCUUGUUAGAACCAGAAAUUAAAGGAAAUUAUUUUGUAGAAUUUGCAUGUAUAAAUUUGCUAAGUGAAUAAAUGUUUCCUGUUCUAAAAGAAAUGAAUUCAAAGGCAUUUUUAGUGAAAUUAAUAGUUAUGCCAUUUGAAAAAAGGGAUUUGUAUUCCCUAAAUUUGCGUGAGUUCCUUCUCAAAUGGAAAAUCUCCCAUGUAUGAUGUGUUUUAAGGCGUUAUUGAUGCUAGGGGUUUUUUUUUUCCCCUCUCAAUUCCAUUGUGGCUGCAGACUUGCAAGCCCAAAAGGGACACUUAGAGUCAUUUUUAUAAUAGGAAACUAAUAAUUUUAUGUCCUAUUGUAUGUGAAAUGUUUGAACAAAAUGCCUGAUAUUUGAACUAAUAAAUCUUAUGAUCUCUGCCGCGACCCUGUCAGGUGAUUAAUGUACAUUUUGGACUAGCAAAGUCAAAUAAGAAAUUUUCUUUGGUUGGGACACCUGUCCCAGAACACAUAUCCAGUGGCAUAGUAUUUCUGGAGCUCAUCCUCUUCAUUGUCAUGCCCAUAAAGAAAGCUUUUUUCAAAUUCCACAGGUCUCAUGUCUGGCAGUAAUAAUCUAAUAUAUAAUGCAGAGAGAGUGAGUAGAAAGAAAAUCUGUUUCUGUUUUUUCAUGCUCUUCAAAUGCAAGUCUUUCAAAUACUGCAAGACACAAGGCUCUCCUCAUUUCGGUAUUUCUCAUGUGCCUGGUGGUGUCUGGAUGCUGUUUGCUCCAAUGAAGAUGAAGUUCCUCUAUUAAGAACAAGCUUUCUUAUACGUUUUCUCAAGCUUUCUAGUUCUGAUCAAAGGACUAUUACUGCAAAAUUGUUUAUGCAUUCCUGAAUCCCAUCCUAAUAAUAAAAAAUGUGCACAAAAAAUACUAUAAACCAGAUUUAUCUGCUUGUUUCCAAUUAGAGCAUUCAGGCUAGCUUUGGAACUUCAAGUGCUAUUUCAGGUAAUUUCUAGCAGCAUCUGAAAUAAUUUACAUCUGAUAUGUUUAUUAGGAGUCUCAUUUUCAGAUAACCUCUUGGGUAUGUUUUUCUUUCCCAGCUUAAAGAUGGGAGGUUCUCAAAAAAUAGAGAUUACUCUUACUUGAAACCGGUCUGAGAUGUGGCACUGUACACACACUCUACUCUCUCCAUUUACAAAUUUCUUCCUAUUUAAGAGAGCUAAAAUAGUAACAGUACAUUUCCAUUUUCUUUCCAUGACUUUCUAUUUCUCUUCUUUCUUCUUUCCCCUUUUAUAUUUCUUUUUUCCUUUCUUUUUUCCUUCCUUCUUAUUUUCUUUUUUUUUUUUCUUAAUUUACC